GGUGCUCCUCAUGGUGGCCAGGAAGCAAUCAAGAGAGGAAGAGAAGGAGCUAGGGUCUCAGUACCUCCUUCAAAGUCACAGCUCCAGUGUCCUAACUUCCUUCCAGGAGGUCCCAACUCCCAGAGGCUCUG
rnacentral:miRNA from 1 species